rnacentral:rRNA from 1 species
UGGUGCAUACCACCCUGCAGGCCACUGCUGGCUUGCCUCUGAAGCUAAGCAGGGUUGGUCCUGGUCAGUCGCUGGAUGGGGCACCAG